rnacentral:rRNA from 1 species
AUUGAACGCUGGCGGCAGGCCUACUACAUGCAAGUCGAACGAGUGGUGGACGGGAGAGUAAUGUAUGGGAAAUCGCCGGAAGGAGGGGGUAAACUACUGGCAACGGUACUUAUUACGGCAUACCUUCAGAUGUUCCAAAAUGGGACUAGCUUGUUGCGGGGAUAACGGUUCACCAAGUCCACGAUCCCUAGCUGGUCUGAGCGGAUGACCGACCACACUGUAACCGAGCCACGGUCCAGACUCCUACGGGAGGCAACAGUGGGGAAUAUUGCACAAUGGGCGCAAGCAUGAUGCAGCCAUGCCGCGUGUAUGAAGAAGGCCGUCGGGUUGUAAAGUACUUUCAGCGGGGAGGCGUUACCCGCAAAGAAAGCACCGGCUAACUCCGUGCCAGCAGCCGCGGGAAGUC